ACCGAAGUAGCUCAGUUGGGAGAGCGAUAGACUAUAGAUCGAUAAGUCCGUGCUCGAUCCCACCUUCCGGAA
rnacentral:tRNA from 1 species